AUGGGAAAGAUUUCCCCCUGACGAGGAGGGAGUCUCCCGACCCGUUCUUUCCCUCCUGGACGUGCCAGGGUAAGGCGAGGGUGCUGGGGGCCUGCAGCUGGGCGAGAAAAGGGCCGAGUGCCGAGAGAAUUGUGGCGGUGCCUAUCCAGCCCCUGCUGUCAAACAGAAACAUCUAUGGUCCCGGUAAGGGUGCCACGCCCGGUCCACCAGACACAGACAUCAAAUAGCCUUACCUUGGUGAGAUUCAAGGCUGUCUGCUCCGAGAGGGACUUACUGGCAAACAGCCCAAGCAGAAGAACAUCAGCAAGGGGGACCAAGGAAGAUGUGUCUGCUCACCACGGGGCUUGCUGUGGAUGUCAUGAAGAGGCUUGGCAGCGUUGAAGACAAUAAAGCAUGCUUUCCUGGAAGAAACAAUGCUGGAUUAAGGACUAAAACAUGGUCACUUUUUUCACCACGAGGAAGACCUGUCCUUGUUAAAAAUGUACUGGCUUCAGACACAUGGAAGAGAGUCUGAGAAUGUUUUGAGUAGGAAUGUUGCUGGAGAUAAAUUAUGGGCUAAGAAAUCAGCUGACUGAGUCGACCGUAUAGAUUUUCCCAGGUCACAUUACUUUUCCAUUUGUAUUCUCAAUCGCUUUUGAACACCCUUCAUGCAAGUCAGCAUAUCAAAAGAUGAUUUUAUACAAGGAUUACCGAUUUCAAAUAAAUAAAGAACCAAAAGAAAUAGAUUUCAAUUGCAUCCAGACUGGUUGGAGAUAAAAUGAGGAGUGCUACAACUCGCUGGGCCAGCAC
rnacentral:lncRNA from 1 species